rnacentral:misc_RNA from 4 species
AACGCACCUUGCACUCUUUGGUAUUCCGAAGAGUAUGUCUGUUUGAGUGUCAUGAAACUCUCAACCCCCUUGUUUUGUAAUGAAGCAGGCGUGGGCUUGGAUUAUGGCUGUCUGCUGGACUCUUUAAGUAGAGAUCGGCUCGGCUGAAAUAUACGAGUAACCCAGUUUGAAUAUUAACGGCUUGACUCGGCGUAAUAGCUUUAUUUCGCUGAGGACGUUUCAUAUCAAGAUAGUGGUGCUUCUAAUGCGUUGUAGCGUCAGCUGCACAAUCUUUAAGCUUUAGACCUCAAAUCAGUCAGGACUACCCGCUGAACUUAA